CGUAGGGGCAAGCGUUGUCCGGAUUAUUGGGCGUAAAGAGCUCGUAGGCGGUUCGGUAAGUUGGGUGUGAAACCUCCAGGCUCAACCUGGAGACGCCACCCGAUACUGCUGUGACUAGAGUCCGGUAGGGGAGCGUGGAAUUCCUGGUGUAGCGGUGAAAUGCGCAGAUAUCAGGAGGAACACCAGCGGCGAAGGCGGCGCUCUGGGCCGGAACUGACGCUGAGGAGCGAAAGCGUGGGUAGCAAACAGGAUU
rnacentral:rRNA from 1 species